CGCCCCCGCCCCCGCCCAACGGUACAUUUCUCUCACAAAAUUGCAACGGAGACAAAAUGUUCCUCUUACAUCUUUCUAUUCUCCUCUCUCAUCAUUACGAUUAAGCUCACAUCCGCUUUCUGCCUAUCGCUCUCUGAAAAGUUUUGGUUAGGGUUUCUCUAUCUCUCGCUAGAAUGGACAGUGGGAGUGAAGGCUUCAUCAGAUGAACUGCUAAGGAAAUUUGCGGAAGUGGGUUCGGGAUCCAAAGAAGAAAGAGCUUUCGCAGUUGGCAAAACGACGCCGCUACCACCGGAAAAAAAUCACCGGAGAAAAUGACGAUGAUGAUGAGCAGUACUGUGAGAGCUCCUCCACCUCCUCCUUAAGCCGCCGGGCCAGUUUGGUUGAGAGGAAAUCGCUUCUUCCUGCUGUGGCGGCAUCCACCCCACCCGGAUGUCGUCUGCGCUGAUUGGGAGGUCAUGGCUCAGGUCGAGGGAUUUCAAGAACAUGUCCAUUUUCGCCACAAUUGACAAGUUUGUCGUAAGGGACAUCAAAUCAAGUUUGGGGAACCUGGAGCGGAUGCUUGCCGGAAUUGAUUGGAACUUUAAUAGCUAUGGAGGCAUCAAUGAAGGUUGUUACAAAGACUGGAGUCUUGAUAUUCAUGCGGCAAGGAAGGGACUUGUCUUACUACCGAGGAGUGCCUCUUGAAUAAAAACAGGAACCCUCAUUUGACUAAAGAGCAAGUUGAGGAUGAACUUAAAGCAUAUCUUGGAGUCAAGAAGAUUAUUUGGUUGCCUCAUGGAUUAUUUGCCUAUAUGGAAUGCAAUAAUAGACUUUGAUCCUCAAAUUUUUAUCUGGCUGGGUGACAACAUCUAUGGGGACAUUGGCGCCCUUUGAAGUUAUUUGGAAAGGAAAGGACGAUUGGGCCGUGGAAGAAUGUUCCAAGAUUCAUUCCUUCCUCUGAGCAUGAAAUGCAGGCCAGAUAUGAUAAGGCUAAGAGCAAUGAUGGAUACAGUCGUCUUCGAGAGAAUG